UACAGAGGUCUCGAGCGUUGUUCGGAUUCAUUGGGCGUAAAGGGUGCGUAGGUGGCGCUGUAAGUCGGGUGUGAAAUCCUGAGGCUUAACCUCGGAACUGCAUUCGAUACUGCGGUGCUUGAGGACUGGAGAGGAGACUGGAAUUCAUGGUGUAGCGGUGAAAUGCGUAGAUAUCUGGAGGAACACCGGUGGCGAAGGCGGCAUCCUGGACCGAGAUUGACGCUGAGGCGCGAAAGCCAGGGGAGCAAACGGG
rnacentral:rRNA from 1 species